rnacentral:sRNA from 1 species
GCCAGGCGUGGUGGUGCACGCCUGUAAUCCCAGUGGCUCUAGAGGCUGAGGCAGGAGGAUCAGGAGUUCAAAGCCAGCCUCAG